rnacentral:rRNA from 1 species
CGCUCGCCGAAGCCUUGCCAGCAGCGACCGAAAACAACUGCUGGCGGUCUGCGUCCAGCAGGCAACACCGUCCAAGUGCCUGGGAACCGCCGAGAGCGUACCAGCCGCCUAAGCUCCUUAGGUUCACAGAUCAAUCGACGGUGAUCGCCCGCACGUCUGGUGCGGGGGGUUGAGAUAUGAUCGGUCCUCGCCGCAAUGGCGAUGGGUUGCACGUUCCGUAGGUGAACCUGCGGAAGGAUCAUUAUCGAGAGAGGCGUCAGCCUCGGGGGCUUCGGCUCCAACUCUUUACCCGGUGGCUAUGCAGCUCAAGUCCCUUUGGCGGCACAUUGGUCGCCAGGAGGCCUUCAAAAUUCUGCCAUCAGUGUCGUCCGAGUCAUUGAAUAACUAAAACUUUCAACAACGGAUCUCUUGGUUCUGGCAUCGAUGAAGAACGCAGCGAAAUGCGAUAAGUAAUGUGAAUUGCAGAAUUCAGUGAAUCAUCGAAUCUUUGAACGCACAUUGCGCCCCUUGGCAUUCCGAGGGGCAUACCUGUUCGAGCGUCAUUACACCCCUCAAGCUGGGCUUGGUGUUGGGCCUCGUCCCCCGGGACGGGCCUGAAUAGCAGUGGCGGUCCGACGUGGCUUCAAGCGCAGUGAAACACAUGUUCGCUUGAAAGGCGCGCCUGGGUCCCGCCAGACAACCCGUAUGGCUAUCCGUUUGACCUCGGAUC